rnacentral:lncRNA from 1 species
AUUUUGUAUUAAGAGAUCAACGGUUACAUAUGACCGGAGUUAAAGUCACCAAAAGAAUCAGACUCAAAAGCCAUCAGACAAAAAAGUUUAACAUAUAUAUUGACAAAAAAGUUUCAUUGACAUCAAUGGCAUAUUUAAUCAUAAAGUUGUCUACAAUCUCUUAUGUCAUACAAUCAAGAUAAACCUCUAUAGUUAUAUAAACUUGAGAGCAAAAGGGUCCCAAUCGCCGGUACAUCCUAGAAGAGAAGCAAUUCUGGGAUAGUAGUGUGAGGCUUGCCAUAGACCUUAAAAAUGGUAGACGAAUAAAGUCAAUCAGGUGGACAAAAUCAGAGAAAAUGAUGGACCAAAAAUAAUUCGACCCUUAAACUAAAGCUAUUGAGAUUUAGGACAAGUGAAAAAUUCAUAGAUAAAAUAGGCAUUUACGAACACGAACCAGAGGGAUUACAGGUUCGUCGUCUUGUUCUCCGUUGGUGUCAUCGUCAACAUGGUAUUUUGACAGCUGCAAAUGGUGGACAAAAUUGACAAUCAGGUGAACGUAAAAAAUGGACCAAAAAUUGACGAACCUGCGGGAUUAUAGGGCCGCUGUUAUGUUCUCUCUGACU